CCCUCGUUCGUGGCCGCCCUCCAUCCCUUCGCCGCCGCCGCUCCAUCCCUUUGCCGCCGCAACGUGCCGGAUCUUGCCUCAGCCGCCGCCUCUCCGCCGUGAAAGAGAGGGCUCCCGAUCUCCGCCGGAGUCGACCAACGGCGCGACGCGCCACCAGAUCGGCGACGCGCCGGGAUCGCCUCUCCGCCUCGGCGCUUGCGCUUCCAGAUCGAAGCCCACGACGGCGGCGUUCCCAGAUUGGUGACGCGCCACCAUACGUCACGGCUGACAGCCGUGUCCUCGUCAAGGAAGUGUCGCUUCGAGGUGGCGGCAACCAAGGCCUCCCGGAUCCCCGCCUCCUUCCUCACAUCUCCGGCGGCGAUAGCGACAAAUUCCGACACCAUGAGGCCACCGGCACGAGGAGGAUGCGGCGGGAGGGGUUUUGGCGGCAGGAGCGACGGCGGCGACCGCGGGGGCAGGGGCUUCGGCGGGAGAAGCGAUGGCGGUGGCCGCAGCGGCAGGGGUGGCCGGGGAGGCAGGACGCCCAGGGGCCGUGGUCGUGGCGGCGGGGGAAGGGGAGGGCCCGGCAUGAAGGGCGGGAGCAAGGUGAUCGUGGCGCCGCACAAGCACGACGGCGUCUUCAUCACCAAGGCCAAGGAGGACCCGCUCUGCACCAAGAACAUGGUCGCCGGGUAGUCCGUCUACGGCGAGAAGAGCGUCUCCGUCCAGCCUAUUCUGUAAUCUGUUCAAUUAGAGAGUUUAUGAUCUUGUGAAUGAAGCAGGGAUCUGAGAAAAAAAGUUAUUCCUGCCCAUGUUUAUGUCAAGGAGCAUCACCGUAUGUGUUCAAGGAAUGCCAUUGAUUGUAUUAUCAUUAUUAUCUGUCACAAAUUUGGAUUCUGAAUUCUUUCAGAAUUCGAUUAUCUUGGAUUGAGACCUGCUGCACUGAGCCCCUGCCAUCUACAAUUUGGCAGUCAGAUGGUGAUCUGAAACUUAAAAUGGAGAAAAUGGCCAUGAGCUCUAAUAAAUAUGAGGUUUUCUAUAACAACAUACCUCAGCUGCAGCGAAAAGACAACAGAGCCAUGGGUGCCGAGGGCGGGCACUGGUGGUCGGCAGAAGGCGCUGUGGAGGUGCUCGCUGCUGCCCGGCUCUACUUGCACGCCACCAGGUUCAGAACUGGCAUGGACCUGGGCGCCGCCGCCUUUGCAGCUGCUCCCCGCU